UCUAAUGGACAAGUUAAUAUAAAAACUCUAAAGUUAAACAUGUUCGGGCGAGAGUAGUACUAUGAUGGGUGACCUCCUAGGAAGUAGGUUGUGUUAUGC
rnacentral:rRNA from 1 species